UUUAACUAUUGAAAAAGACCUACAUUUAUCCCUAGAGUCACAAGCUAAAAUUAGGCAGGGGGCAGGUUUUCAAGCGGUACUGCACUUGAACUGCUGAGUUGGCUGUGAAAAAUGAGCAAGAGCACCCUUUUCUGGUUUGGUUCUCAGGUCUGCUCUCUCAGUUAGGAGAAGUCUGCUUGCAUCCUCUCUUAUGUUUUUAACAACUCUCCAUCUUCAGGUAACAGCACCCACUUUUACUUGAGGAACCCCCUCCCGCAUCGGCGACCGUUUGGUGGCUCUGUCAGUCAAGAGGGUCUGCCCGCCCAGAUGCUGGUCAUGUGACCCAGGCUAGGCCAAUCAGAUUCCCUCUCCCCGGACCGAGCCCAAAGGGGAUCCUGCAGAGAAGAAAAAAUUGUAAAAGUGCCUUGAAGGGUUUUGUCAGUUCCUGUUGCCUAGAUCUUUGGAGCAGCUCUUUCUCUAAAGAGAACAUACUAUAGAAUGGCCAACAGAUCUGGGUGUGAAAGACACUGGACAAGAUCAGAAAGAAAUGAGGUGGCAAGCAGGAAAAAAAAAUCAUUCCUCAACAAGCCAUAGGCUGGUCUCUUACCACUCCCCCUACUCUUGGAACUCCAGACACACCAGCCUUCUUUCAGUUCCUCUGGUGAUUCCUGCCUCAGGACCCUUGCACAUGCUCCCUUGGCUUACAACGUUCUUUCCUCCCUUUUUAGCCAGGUUCAGCUAUACUCAUCCUUCAGCUCUUGGCUCGGCAUCACUUCUUAUGAAAAGCUUUCCAUGCCCACCUGUCCACCACAUCAGGUCUGCUCUGGUGGUAGCUCGUCCUUCUCAUCCACAACACUGAACACAAUUGUAAUUUCUCAUUUUUGUAGGCAUUUUGUAGGCAUUUUUAAACAUUAAGUCUGUCUUUCCUACUCAGCUUUGAACUUCAUGAGGGCUAGGCCCAUGUCCUUUGUCACCUGCAUCCCCAGAGCCUGGCAUAGAUUUGAAGAUGAAUGAGUAUGUGUUUAGUGAAUUGAUGAGUCCAGUUAAGAGUAGGAGAACAUAGCUGGGCUUCCGGGGCUCUGCACAUACACUCAGAUCUGUCACUGCUGUUGGCACACAAGCACAGGUGUGCACAAGUGUGCAGCUCAGCCAGCACCCAUAUGUCCUGUCAGAGGACUGCUCUCACUUUGCCUGAGUAUGCCAACAGCACGAAGUAUCUAGGAAUUCCCAUUCCCUUUAGAGAAAUCCCUUUAGCCCUUAACCAAUUAGUGACAGGUACAGGUGUAUAAACUCACCAGCUCUUGUCUUUGUGAGGCGUGACCUGUAUACCCACUGGAGCUCCCCUGUGGGACUGAGCCAUGCGGACCUUCCAUGGGACCUUGCUUGAUGGUAUCACACUCUUCUUGCCUCUUCCAGUCCCCACCCCAUGUCUCUACUUCUCUACCCGCGUCCCCUGAGAAGUCCUAAUAAAUGACUCUACACAAUCUGCAUCACAGGGGCUGCUUCUGGGGAGCACAGCCUAAAACAGAGAGCCUGCUGCUGGAAAAGUUUCUCGCUGAGCUGUGAUUAAUACCAUAAAUUUUGGUGCAUGAAAGCACUCCAGCCAGACCAUUUGCUGGUUCAGACGAGGAUAGGUCCUGCCAGUAACUCUCUAAGCUGGCAAGAGCGCCCUGUCUAAAGAGAGAGCACUAAACCCCCCCACUUUCCAAUCUUCGCCCCAUGACCCAGUGCCCUGCAAAAGGAGUCAAGAGGCUGUGCCUCUGGCAUCCCAACCAAACUGGACAUGGAAGUCUGCUGGCAAGACUGUCUUGAGGCUCGCUGUGGCUGCUGCAUGGAGAAAUGGAUGCAGGGCUGCACAAGGACCAAUGAGAGGAGAGGCACAGAGACAGGAACCCAGUCCGGCCACCACGAGUGACACAAUGAUGGUCCCCAUCAGGGCAGUGGGGAUGCAGAUAGGAGAAGGCUGCAAGACAGAGCUCAGACACUGAUGUAUUGGCUCUGAAACAAAUCAGAUAAAAUAAUUUGGACAUCUUAAUGCCAGAGGCCCUUCCAUCAAAUAACAGCCAGCUUUUCAGAGACCACACGUUGGCUCCUGACAGUGACAAAAUUGGCGUCGCCACAGAAGUCCCAGAGCAGGGACUUGGGUAUGUUCCAGUAGAGCAGAGAGGAGAAGGAAAAUGUAUGUUCCUUCCCAAAUGUCCAGCAACAAAUGACUGCCGAGUGAGAAAGAAAUUUAGCCAAAGUGCAGAAGGAUGGUCUGGCCACACUGCGGACCCUUGAGAAGUGAGAUGUUAUUUAUGGAGACAGUGACUUAUUCUCCUAAACAACCAUAAUGUCCUCACCUGUCUGAUUUCCGUGAAAACCUCUAGUUCAACUUCCAAUUUGAAGUUACAAAAAUGAGCAUGGGUCCUUCAGGAAUUCAGAUUUGAUGUGAAGUAUAUCCAAAGACCUGCCAACAGAUGUUACAGCAUCUUGGAAAUGUUCAAGACUCGUGCUUGCUGACAGAAGCGUUAAGUAGAAUCACUGUUCUGAUUUUUUUUAAGCUAGGAUGGGGGAUUGUGCUUGUCCUGGGGUGACCUUCAGGAGUCUCCUCUGUUCCUCACAAGAAACAACAAUCACAGUGAUGAUGCUAAAAACAGAACACAACAAAGCUCCCACUUCACUUACAUGUACAAUAAUCCUAUAGACUUAUGACCCCCAUUGUUAGAUAUGAAGAAAGUGAAUCUCAAGAAGUAAAAGAAUUUACCAGUGUCAUACAAGGAAGCAGCAGAGAUGGGUCUAAUACAAAAUCAAAAUCUGAACUGUGGAUCUGCAAACAAUGGCCUGAGGGCAAAACCCCAGCUACCACUUGUUUUUGUAAAUAAAGUUUUAUUGGAACAUA